AACGCAUAUUGCACCCGACAGGUUCACUUGUCGGGUCUGCCUGUCUGAGUAUCAAUACGGACCCAAUCGAUAAAUAAUAUUUGUUGAAUUGGUGCUCACUAAUGUUUUUAUUAGUGGAUUUGAAUGUUCAAUGAAUUCUUUUUUGUUGAUCAUUUGAAAUGUAUUGGUGAAUAUUAAUCAUUUUGAUAAUUGCCAACGGCUAAUUAAGCAUUGUUAAUCAUCUUUAAUUAGGUGUUCAUUGCUUACUAUAAAACCAUUGGAAUCACGAUUAUCAAGCAUUGAGUAAAAUCGAUGUCUUGUGAUUUAUACCAUUCGCAUACCUUUAACAACUAAUCAUUAUUAAUGGUAUACACUCUUUAACCAUCUUGAUCUCAGAUCAGGCAGGAUGACCCGCUGAACUUAA
rnacentral:misc_RNA from 1 species